ACCUUUGCGCAGUGGCAGUAUCAUAACCAAUGAAGUUAAUCUGAGGUAUGAUUAUUGCUAGUUGAAAACUAUUCACUUUCCUGUAAGUAUUUCCAUUCUCUAUCUACAGUACUUACAGAAAGUGAACACAACUGUG
ensembl:snRNA U4 U4 spliceosomal RNA